GAUGAAGAACGUAGCGAAAUGCGAUAAGUAGUGUGAAUUGCAGAAUUCCGUGAAUCAUCGAAUCUUUGAACGCACAUUGCGCCUUCUGGUAUUCCGGAAGGCAUGCCUGUUCGAGAGUCAUUAACAACCGUUUCGAUCCCUUUCUUUCAGAAAUUACAAAGAGGAAAAGGGUUUGGUUAUGGUGGAGGAGGGAAAGGGAGCGUUUAGCCUGUAAAAAAAGAGGCUGUGUUCCGCCUCCCCCCCAAAAUUGUACUGGCGGUCGUGUGCGCCCACGCAUCGAGGUGUUGUAAAAGCUGCCACGGCACUUUUCACCUGUGCAGUGCGAGAUUGGCCAGCCGGUUUAAAAACCCCUCCAAACAAUCAAAGGUUGACCUCGGAUCAGGUAGGGAUACCCGCUGAACUUAAGCAUAUCAAUAAGCGGAGGA
rnacentral:misc_RNA from 1 species